rnacentral:rRNA from 1 species
UACGUAGGGGGCAAGCGUUAUCCGGAAUUACUGGGUGUAAAGGGAGCGUAGACGGUAAUGUAAGUCUGGAGUGAAAGGCGGGGGCCCAACCCCCGGACUGCUCUGGAAACUAUGCUACUAGAGUGCAGGAGAGGUAAGCGGAAUUCCUAGUGUAGCGGUGAAAUGCGUAGAUAUUAGGAGGAACACCAGUGGCGAAGGCGGCUUACUGGACUGUAACUGACGUUGAGGCUCGAAAGCGUGGGGAGCAAACAGG